ensembl:lncRNA
CUGCUGGUGAAGUAUGCGGAUAUUUGGAAAAUCAAGCGGCAAAAGGACCUGCGUGCUUUUAUUUUGCCGUGCUUACCCUACCCUGUUCUCCUUGUCAGCGUUAUCUGACUUUUUUUUUAAACUUUUGUAUCGAUUGCUUGCUUCGGAGCUCCUUGUUGUUAGCCAUUUGCUAAUAUUUUGGUCUGCUUUCACAUUCCCAUACGUCCCAUGUGCUUGUUUGUAGCUUCUCCCAAUGGCACUAAGGAAAGAAGUAUUUCAAUCUAAAGUUCUCCAGAAGCUCUAUCCUGCUGCACCUGCUUUACAAAACUCUGCAGACUCUAGCAGUGCAACACUGUCCAAGAAACCUACAGUCAAAAGAUUUACUCCAGGAAACACUAAUGCAGGAAGCACUAGCACUCCUGCCAAGCGCAUAUAUACAGCCCUUCCUCCUCCAGCAGACUACAAGACAGAUGCAGAGAAAUCUGUCACACACUCUGCGCCUGAAACCCUACAGAAUGCUGAAGACCCAGCUGAAAAGAGUGAUAAUGAAAGCAGCAAUGAGACAGACCAGGCAAAAGAUUCCGAAG